AGAGUCAAAUGAAGCCCUGCGUCAGUACUAUUAUAUGUUAUGUGCAAUAUACUGUUGGAUGUCAACUCCCCAAAACCAUAAAACUUACUUUAAUGGCACCACGUGACCGUUUAUAGCCAGUAAGCCUAUCUUUCUGUGCUGUGGAUGAUUUUCCGAUUCAUAGACAAAACCCCCAUUCAUUUGGCACCCAAAUGUCGUGCAGCCGGAACUGGGAUAAUAAAGUUUAUAGCUCCAAACUUAAAUAGAUUUUCAGGGAGUGGGAAGCAAGAGAAGGGACGCAGAAGCCCUCGUGUGGCUUAUUGUAUGGACUAUUUAAGCUUCAAGCACGCGGACAGACACUGCUCCAUUUCAGGAUUACUUGGCCUGGACGCUAACAGAAGCUACUGGCUCACUCUCCUCUUCUUCAAUGACUUUGGUGACGGAUCCAGCCACCUGACCAUUAUCCUUAUGGUCCUUCUUCCAUUUCAUCCUCCGAUUUUGGAACCAGA